rnacentral:lncRNA from 1 species
AGCUUUUUAAGUAAAAUUGGUGAUCAAUAGGAAUUCUCUUCUACAGAAUUUGGGGAAAAGAAUGUGAUUGUUCAAUUCUUACUUCAAAUCGUUGGGAAAAUCGAUAUCAGGAAUCAUUCUGAGAAGGAUUAUUGUAUCAAUUAACUGCACCAAAGCCACAGUAACCAUCACAAUCACCACUGUUCAUGUACCACCAUCGUUGUUAUCAUUAUUGUUGAUGUUGCAAGCCUGCAAUUACCAUUACCACCAAUACCAUCAAUGCACUAGAUUCACUAGUGGAAUUCUAAUCCAACAAAUUUGAAUCCCUCAAGUGAUUCAAAAUUCUGAAUGUAAAUACACCCUUAAAUUACCAUACCACUUGAAGAAGAAAAAUCAACGGAACAAAAAGUGAAAUACCUUUAUUGUGUCAUUUGGUUGUCUUUGAGGGAGCUCUGGAAGUUUGGGGCUCUUUAUGAAAAAACCCCAACUCCACCUAUCUCAACAACAAAUC